rnacentral:hammerhead_ribozyme from 1 species
AUCCGGUUGACGAGUUCUAAAUAGGACGAAACGCCUGUACUGGAU